GGCUGGGUAGCUCAGUUGGUAGAGCAGAGGACUGAAAAUCCUUGUGUCGGGGGUUCAAUUCCCUCCCCAGCCACCA
rnacentral:tRNA from 1 species